rnacentral:rRNA from 1 species
AAAUAAAAUAUUAUUGUUUAUUUAAUUAUUAAAAAUUAAUAUUUAAAAUAAUAUAUAUUUUAUUAAAUUUUAAGAAAAAAUUAUUUUAAUUAUAGUUAAAAGUAUUGUGAAAGAAUUAUUUUUUUAUACCAAAGAAAAAUUUAUUUUUUGUACCUUGUGUAUCAGGGUUUAUUAAAAAUAAUUUAAUUAUUUAAUUAUUUCGAAUUUAAAAGAGCUAAAAAGUUAUAAUUUUUACUGUAAAAUAAUUAUUUUCAAUAAUUUUUUAGUAAUGAAAUGUUAUUCGUUUUUAAAUAUAUCUAGUUUUUUAAGAAAUAAAUUUAAUUUAUUUAUUAUUAAUAUUUAUAUGUUUUUAUAUUAAAAUAUUUAUAAUAUUAAAUAUUUUUAGGGAUGAUCUUAAAAAUAAAUUAUUAUUAGAUUUUUAUUAGUUAAUAAAUUAUUAGAAUUAAAAAUUUUCAUAUUUUAAAGUAUAUUAUUAUUUAUUUUUAUAAAUUAUUAUUUUUAUUUUAUCUAUAAAUUUUUUAUUAAAAUAUAUUUUUAAAUUAUUAAAAAUUAGAAAUAAUGAUAAAAUUAGUAUAAAAUUUUAUAUAAAUAUCAAAUUAUUUUAGGUUAAAUAAAGGAAUUCGGCAAAUCAUUUUUCACCUGUUUAUUAAAAACAUGUCUUUUUGUUUAAAAUUUAAAGUCUAGCCUGCCCAAUGAUAUAUUUAAUGGCCGCGGUAUUUUGACCGUGCUAAGGUAGCAUAAUCAUUAGUUUUUUAAUUAAAAACUGGAAUGAAGGGUUGGAUGAAAAAGUAACUGUCUUUAUUUUAUUUAAUUAGAAAUUUAUUUUUAAGUUCAAAAGCUUAAAUUAUUUUAAAAGACGAGAAGACCCUAUAGAGUUUAAUAAAUUAAUUUAUUUAAAUGUUUGGAAUUUUAUAUUUUAAUAUUUUUUAUUUAUUUAAUUGGGGUGAUUAAAAAAUUUAAUAAACUUUUUUUUCUUAUUAAUAUUGAUUAAUAAAUUAUUGAUCUUAAAAUUUUGAUUAUAAGAUUAAAUUACCUUAGGGAUAACAGCGUAAUUUUAUUGGAGAGUUCAAAUUGAUAAUAAAGAUUGCGACCUCGAUGUUGGAUUAAAAUUUAUAAUUGGUGUAGAAGCUAUAUUAUUAAGUCUGUUCGACUUUUAAAAUUUUACAUGAUCUGAGUUUAAACCGGUGUAAGCCAGGUUGGUUUCUAUCUUUAAAUUUUUAAUAUAUUUUAGUACGAAAGGACCAAAUAUAUAAAUAAUAUUUUUUUUAUAGAUUAAUAAU